rnacentral:tRNA from 1 species
AAGAUAAAAGUAAUAUAUUACCAUCAGUUUCGACCUGAUAUACGGCAGUCCUUAUUUUA